rnacentral:rRNA from 1 species
AAUCAACGCUGGCGGCGUGCCUCAGACAUGCAAGUCGAACGCGAAAGUCCCCUUCGGGGGACAAGUAGAGUGGCGCACGGGUGAGUAACACGUAGGUAAUCUACCUUCGGGUGGGGAAUAACAACCGGAAACGGUUGCUAAUACCGCAUAAUGCAGCGGCACCUAAUGGUGACAGUUGUUAAAGCGGGGGAUCGCAAGACCUCGCGCCUGAAGAGGAGCCUGCGGCGGAUUAGCUAGUUGGCAGGGUAACGGCCUACCAAGGCAACGAUCCGUAGCCGGCCUGAGAGGGCGGUCGGCCACACUGACACUGACAUACGGGUCAGACUCCUACGGGAGGCAGCAGUCGGGAAUUUUGGGCAAUGGGCGAAAGCCUGACCCAGCAACGCCGCGUGAAGGAUGAAAUCCCUCGGGAUGUAAACUUCGCAAGAACGGGGAGAAUAAGCCGGUGUGAAUACCACCGGCGAUGACGGUACCGUUUGUAAGCUCCGGCUAACUCCGUGCCAGCAGCCGCGGUAAUACGGGGGG